UCGAGUGAACAUGUCGCUCUAUUACUGGCUCAUUGUGGUAACCGUUUUGCCCUGCGAAUAUUUUGCACAAACACCGAAACAGAUUGUCCCAUCCAUUACCAAAAAUGUGGGUAAAACCGCUCGAUUCAAAUGCGAAGUAGAAGGUGCAACUAUCAGUAACAGCAAUCCCCUUCACUGGUACCAGCACAAGCCCGGCCAGGCACCCACCCGAAUCCUCUAUUAUGGAUCAGGCACAUCGCGGGAUCCGGGAUUUAGUGAACGGUUCAAAGCUGGGAAAUCUAAAGACAAAGAAUUCUACCUCACAAUCGACAAAUUAAAGACAGAGGACACCGCCACCUAUUACUGUGCGUACUGGAUAGAUACACACUGCGAGACAUCAAUACAAAGUUCGUACAAAAACACUGAACGAUUUGAAGCGAAACUGUCAGAGGAAUUCACAGACUCCUCCCCUAAUUGGGUUAAGUAGCGACGACACCACAGCUGGAUCUGUGUCUGAGCUUUCUCCGCCUGAAUUCGUGAUUUGGAAACUGAUGUGAAGCAAGCCAGGUCUGGGCUGUUUUGAUCAACGUACUUCCUCUGAUUUGGAAUGAGAGCACUGAGGGUCGACUCACUAUGAAAUUGAGUAGAGUAGAGUAGAAUUUGCACUGAAGUUCUCCCUGGGCAGGAGGGUGGAGUUAUAUU